UCCAGGGUAGCCGAGUGGACACGGCAUCUGCCCGGUAAGCGGAACAUUGUGGGUUCGUUUCCCAUCCCUGGAC
rnacentral:tRNA from 1 species